rnacentral:rRNA from 1 species
GGGCCCGCACAAGCAGUGGAGUAUGUGGUUUAAUUCGAAGCAACGCGAAGAACCUUACCAGGUCUUGACAUCAGAUGCAUAAUCUAGAGAUAGAUGAAGUCUUUCGGGACAUCUAGACAGGUGGUGCAUGGUUGUCGUCAGCUCGUGUCGUGAGAUGUUGGGUUAAGUCCCGCAACGAGCGCAACCCUUAUUUUUAGUUGCUACGCAAGAGCACUCUAAAGAGACUGCCGUUGACAAAACGGAGGAAGGUGGGGAUGACGUCAAAUCAUCAUGCCCCUUAUGACCUGGGCUACACACGUACUACAAUGGUGAUAAACAGAGGGAAGCGACACGGCGACGUGAAGCGGAACCCAAAAAGUCAUCUCAGUUCGGAUUGCAGGCUGAAACCCGCCUGCAUGAAGUCGGAAUUGCUAGUAAUCGCGGAUCAGCAUGCCGCGGUGAAUACGUUCCCGGGCCUU